CACAUUAACCUUUCCCAACCUGGCAUUCUCCAGUUGUGUUAAGACUCCAACUCUCCUAAUUUCAAACUCUUCUGGGAGAGCACAAGGUUCAGAGAGUCUGCUCUCUGUGAUUGUAUUUCAGCUCCCGAUGUCACCCCUCCCUGCAAGGAGAAAGGAUCCUUUUGAUCAGCCCAUCUCAGGCAAUUGAUGGACCCAGUCAGAGGUGCAUCUUGAUUUACUGAACUGAAAGAUGAAAUAAGUGCCUGGAAGGUUGCUAAAAGAUGACUCAAAAUGAUUCCGACUGGAGAUGGUUAAGAGCUCGUUUUAGGGAUUACCUGACGUAUGAGGGUGAAACAGCCAUACUUCUCUUUCUUACACCUGCUGAUAGCUAGCCAAAGACUGUUUUUUUUUCAUUUUUCAUUUUAUUAAUUUCAUAUAUACAUUCACAAU